AUUGAACGCUGGCGGCAGGCCUAACACAUGCAAGUCGAACGGUAACAGGAAGAAGCUUGCUUCUUUGCUGACGAGUGGCGGACGGGUGAGUAAUGUCUGGGAAACUGCCUGAUGGAGGGGGAUAACUACUGGAAACGGUAGCUAAUACCGCAUAACGUCGCAAGACCAAAAAGGGGGACCUUCGGGCCUCUUGCCAUCGGAUGUGCCCAGAUGGGAUUAGCUAGUAGGUGGGGUAACGGCUCACCUAGGCGACGAUCCCUAGCUGGUCUGAGAGGAUGACCAGCCACACUGGAACUGAGACACGGUCCAGACUCCUACGGGGGGCAGCAGUGGGGAAUAUUGCACAAUGGGCGCAAGCCUGAUGCAGCCAUGCCGCGUGUAUGAAGAAGGCCUUCGGGUUGUAAAGUACUUUCAGCGGGGAGGAAGGGAGUAAAGUUAAUACCUUUGCUCAUUGACGUUACCCGCAGAAGAAGCACCGGCUAACUCCGUG
rnacentral:rRNA from 1 species